rnacentral:rRNA from 1 species
AUUGAACGCUGGCGGCAUGCCUUACGCAUGCAAGUCGAACGGCAGCACGGGUGCUUGCACCUGGUGGCGAGUGGCGAACGGGUGAGUAAUACAUCGGAACAUGUCCUGUAGUGGGGGAUAGCCCGGCGAAAGCCGGAUUAAUACCGCAUACGAUCUACGGAUGAAAGCGGGGGACCUUCGGGCCUCGCGCUAUAGGGUUGGCCGAUGGCUGAUUAGCUAGUUGGUGGGGUAAAGGCCUACCAAGGCGACGAUCAGUAGCUGGUCUGAGAGGACGACCAGCCACACUGGGACUGAGACACGGCCCAGACUCCUACGGGAGGCAGCAGUGGGGAAUUUUGGACAAUGGGCGAAAGCCUGAUCCAGCAAUGCCGCGUGUGUGAAGAAGGCCUUCGGGUUGUAAAGCACUUUUGUCCGGAAAGAAAUCCUUGGCUCUAAUACAGUCGGGGGAUGACGGUACCGGAAGAAUAAGCACCGGCUAACUACGUG